rnacentral:rRNA from 1 species
UACAGAGGUCCCAAGCGUUGUUCGGAUUCAUUGGGCGUAAAGGGUGUGUAGGUGGCGCCGUAAGUCGGGUGUGAAAUCUCGGGGCUUAACUCCGAAACUGCAUUCGAUACUGCGGUGCUUGAGGACUGGAGAGGAGACUGGAAUUCAUGGUGUAGCAGUGGAAUGCGCAGAUAUCAGGAGGAACACCGGUGGCGAAGGCGGGUCUCUGGGCAGUAACUGACGCUGAGGAGCGAAAGCGUGGGGAGCGAACAGG